GGAUAACCUACCCUUAGGACCGGGAUAACCUUGGGAAACUGAGGAUAAUACUGGAUAGGCAAUUAUUCCUGGAAUGGUUUUUUGUUUAAAUGUUUUUUCGCCUAAGGAUGGGUCUGCGGCCGAUUAGGUAGUUGGUUAGGUAACGGCUUACCAAGCCAUUGAUCGGUACGGGUUGUGAGAGCAAGAGCCCGGAGAUGGAACCUGAGACAAGGUUCCAGGCCCUACGGGGUGCAGCAGGCGCGAAACCUCCGCAAUGUGAGAAAUCGCGACGGGGGGGUCCCAAGUGCCAUUCUUAACGGGAUGGCUUUUCAUUAGUGUAAAGAGCUUUUGGAAUAAGGGCUGGGCAAGACCGGUGCCAGCCGCCGCGGUAACACCGGCAGCUCUAGUGGUAGCAGUUUUUAUUGGGCCUAAAGCGUCCGUAGCCGGUUUAAUAAGUCUCUGGUGAAAUCCUGUAGCUUAACUGUGGGAAUUGCUGGAGAUACUAUUAGACUUGAGACCGGGAGAGGUUAGAGGUACUCCCAGGGUAGAGGUGAAAUUCUGUAAUCCUGGGAGGACCGCCUGUUGCGAAGGCGUCUAACUGGAACGGUUCUGACGGUGAGGGACGAAAGUUAGGGGCGCGAACCG
rnacentral:rRNA from 1 species